UAAAAUGUCAUAUUUUGUAAAUUAUUGCUUAGUAAAUACCACAACAAAUUGCAAGUAGUUUAUUAGAAUUUUAAGGUUAAAAUGCCAUAAAGUUUUACAGUUCAUAUGCAGAAUAUUUGAUAUUUGGGUGGCUUCAGAACAGUGUCAGAUUUACGAAAGGUCUUUUGGAGUAUGACUUUGGUUCUAUAUUGUUGCCUUUCAGAAGUAGGGUCAUGAUUAUGAGGGAUGGCCAGGGGCAUUCUUAUUGUGCCGCUAGAGGUGAAAUUCUUGGACCGGCGCAAGACGGCCUAGAGCGAAAGCAUUUGCCAAGAAUGUUUUAAUUAAUCAAGAACAAAAGCCAGAGGAUCAAAUACUGUGGUAGUUCCAACCACAAAUCAUGCUGACUGGCAAUAAGAUUUUUGGGGUU
rnacentral:ncRNA from 1 species